ACACACGGGCCCCCGAUCUGCCGCCAGUCGGCGUGCCUGCAGCUGCUGGCUUGACCCCAGACCGGGACUGGCGGAGCGGAACACUGCCCGGUGGGCCCAGGCCGACCGUGCCUGUGGCUCUCCGGAACAAUAAACCCCCGGCCCCAGUGAUGUCGGCCAGACCGGACCUGGAGAGGCGGCACCGCGACCCCUCCCUCAACCCGCCUGGCCGCCGGGGGCAGCGUGACCCGGCCCGCUACCGUGUCACAGCUGGCGACUGACAAACAGCAGGCGACGUCGGGAGAACUCCCCGAGACACCCGAGACUUCAGCCUUCUCGCUCCGCGGCCCUGCAGGACCUGCCCGUCGGGAGCCCCGGAGUCCGCGGCAGCGCCGAGGGCCCCUCCCCCAGGCCUCUGGGCUCUGAGGGACCAUGCCUGGCCGGAUGCUGCUGCCUGGCUUCAGUGCCAUCUGCAUGUCCUCAGGGAUGACAAAGGACUCAUUGUACCAGAUGUCAAAUUCUACAAGGAGAUGAGGAGACAGAACCUGAGGAAGCCGAGACAGGGUCUCACUGAAUUGCCCAGACUGGUCUCAAACUCCUGUGCUCAAGCAAUCCACCUGCCUCAGCCUCCCAAAGUGCUGAGAUUACAGGUGCGAGCCACUUCGCCUGGCCUAGAAGAUAUGAGUUUACUUGAUCUGUUCAAGUAAAUUCAAUAAAAUAAAGUCUUGGUCUGUCACCCAGACUGGAGUGCAGUGGCGCAAUCUUGCCUCCUGCAACCUCUGCCCCCUGGGUUCAAGCGAUUUUCGUGCCUCAGCCUCCCAAGAUGCUAAGAUUACAAGUGUGUGCCACCACGCCCUGCUCCUCUGAGAAAUAAAUGAGGAAAAUACACCCCCUGUGAGUAAGAUGAUGCAUCUGACUUGCAGGAAUAAACCAAGUGACAUCUGGAGAUCACUCAUGAAAGCUGGCCUGGAACAGGGUUGUGAUUUAGCAAGGGAAAGCCCAGUAACCUGUGGUGUUUCCUGUCUGGAAGAAGACAGUAAGAGUGAACCAGGAGUGUGAAGAACAGUGUGGCCUCUGAACCACCUGUCCCAGAGUUGGAAUGAUCACUCAUUAAAAUGCAGGUCCUGAGCCCUGCUGCACCUCUCCCAGGUCAGAAACACUGGCUGAGGGGCUGGGAAUCUGCACUUGACCAGCCCUCCCAGGUACUCUUUACAUGUUGAGGAUCACAUAUGGUUUUGUUUGAUCUGGUGCAGAAGCUAACAUUAGCUGAUUACCUAAUUGGGCGUAAUUCCUCCUUCGGGGAGUCUGAGGGAAGGGGCUCAAUGCUGGAAGUUUCCCGGUCCCGCGAAAACAUGUCUUUGACAUCCCCAUCUUUGGAGGAUGGGACCAGCUGGGUCUUGGAGGUGGAAACGUAAUCCAAGUCCUUCCCAUUCACAGGGCUGCUGGCACCUUCCUUUCUUGCCAAGGAGCUGGAAGAAGGCACGGAAGCCCCAGGGUUCAGUCAUGGACAGUGAGGUAUCAGAUGCCAGGAUGAGUGACCUUUCUCAGCACUGACUACCCUGGGAACCCCACCUCAUUCAGCUCCCAUCUUGUUCAUAUUCCUAGGUAAAAGCGCAAAUGGUGUGAUGCUAAGCUAGGCAGAUGUGGAGGAAGAAGAGGGCAUUUUUCUCCCUUUUAUCAGAAAAAAGAGCCUUCAGUGGUCUUGGCAGGAGACACUUGGGAAAAAUGGGUACAAUCUCCAUGGAUUGAAAGUGUAUGGACCUGUAGGAUGGGCCACAGGUUCUCAGGAACCACCAUGGCUGCUGAGGUCUGAGUCAUACAGGCUUCCCUGGGAAGGACUGGUAGAGCCCCACACAGGGUGGGUCUGUCUGUGGACCAAUGGUAAAGCAGGAUGGCUCUGCCCUGCUGUUUUUACUGGUACACACCCUGUUCUCCACACCAGCUCCCAGAAAAGUAGCUAUCCUCCCUGCUGAAGCGACAGUGCUUGUUGCCUUUCUCCGAGAAGAGGCAGAUCUGAGGACCGAACUGGCAGGAGGAUGCCCAUGGCUCUUCCCAAAGGUCUGAGGAUAGAAAAUCUGUUUCUUCCUCUUUCCUCCUCCUUGCAACGAGUGUGGCUCAGGGGACUGAGCCUCAACCCAUCGACUACUGCACUGAUUAUCCGGAAGCAGAACAGAGAGGGCUGAGGUGUGACUGCACUCAUGAAGAGGCGGGAGGAAGCCAGGGACACUGGCAUCUUCUGCUGCCGGACUCUUGUCCUGCGUGUAACAGUUUUCUACAAUCAGCUCUGGCCUGUGGCCUGUGCUCACUCACUCUUGCUUACAACGACCUCAAUGACUUGGAUGCUAUUAUUAUUAUUCCCAUUCCGGAGAUGCAGAAACAGGCACAGAGCGGUUCUCAUGUCUCACACGGGGUGACCCCUUGAGUGUGAGAAGUGCAGAGCAGGGAAGGGAACCCGGGAGUCAGCUCCAGAGCCUGUGCUCUUACCCACCACGACACAGCACCCCGGGAGAGUGGGCUCACUAAGUGAACCUAAAUGCUCUUCCCACCUUGCACAUACAAACGAGUCUUGCCUGGAAGGUGAACUGGAGUUUUAGGUGACCUGAGUGCCAGUCGGCAGGAAGACCCUAGUGAAGUGAGGGGAGGGGGUACAACAUAAAGUACCAGAGGGUAUGGGCUCUGGAGAGCUGGUCCAGCUUCUCACUGCCAUUCCACUACUCAUUGGUGGUAUGGCCUUGGUGAGUGACUUCCCCUCUCUAAGCCUCUGUUUCUUCAUCAGUGUAAUGAAGACAUUAACUCCCACCUCACCAGGUUACUGUGAGGACGAGAGGUGAUUCUUGUGGGGUUCCAAACCAGCCCCAGCCCGGGCCUCACAGACUUGGUAGUAUUGGCAGCAGUGACGUCCAUUGUGCCAACCCAGUAGCUAAGACACCAGGGGGAAAGUGGGAACAGUGCACGUCCUCCCAUUCACCCACCGAGGAGGGCCAGCUGCUGAGGAGGCAGAGCAGCAAGGUCACUCACCUGAGUGGCUCUUUGAAUGUCUUCUUGGACUUGGCUUUCUUCCCAGGUUUGGUAGAGAAAGGGGCAACUCCGAGUCCAAAGUUUUGUCCUUCAGUCUCACCCACUAGGUGGCCGUCAACAUCCACAAGCCCCACCUACAUAGGCCAGCCAAAGGUCUGUGAGUUAGAUUAAGGGCUUGGACCCCUUGGGGACCCACAUGUAUAUGGCCCAAGGCUCAGGGUGGACAUGUUCACUGUACACACCAAGGUUUGACAGCUUCUGAUGCCAGUCUCAGGCUGUCCCCAGUAGAGCGGUCCCUGACCACUCUGCCAAAUGUCCACUUUCCACAUGCACCCCCUCACCAGUAUGGCACCUCAUUCCAUACUCUGGGGAUCUUAAAGCUUAUUUCCAACCUAAUUCCAGGAAUUUGUCUUUAAUAUUAUUAUCCAUGUCUCUACCUUAUGGAAAUUAUUUUUAAUUCAAAAGUGGUUUACUCUUACACAGGUCACCUGUGUUCAUUCUGGUGCUUACCUUUAUCUGUUGCAAUCCUAGCUCUCGUUUAAUGCAUAAUACUUGCUGCCUCUGCAAAGGUCUGAGGAUGGGAAAUCUGAGGUGAGUGCUGUCGGCAAGUAGCAACUAUGCUUACCUUCUGGACAGCAGAAAUGGCUGCAAAGUCAUUCCUGUCAAUGAGGGUGUACUUCCUGCGCAAAGUGGACUCCACUUCCUGUUCCUGUUGGCUUGGGAGACAGCACGAGAGAACAGCUUGUACCUGGGGCCAUGCUGAAUCCACUGGGGCAAGAACCAAGUACUGGGGUUAAAAGUCAUAUGGGUGAGGUCCCUUGUGUGGGGCCACACCUUCAUCAUGAACCAGACCAGAGAAAAGGACAAAGGACUCACUUCCCCCUGCCCCAUUGCAUAUACCCACUGUCCAACCCCCAAACCCACAAGUGCCACCUUAUGCCAUGUGUGUCUGCUCCAAGAUGACACUUGAUAAGGACUGUAAGCUUCACUUGGGACCAUGUGGGGUUCUGUCUUAGGUUCUGUCUCUAAGAGGCCCCUUAGAAUCAUGUGACCAGCUUUAGUGACACCACCUAGCAUAAGCUGCUCAGACUACGGGUAUGUUUGCACCCAAAUAAACCACAAAUGCCUCCUGAGGUGGGGGUAUGUGUGGCAAUAUUCACAAGGUGAAUAUUCACAAUGCCCUGCUCUGGGCACACUCAGAGCUGGCACUCCAUAAACACCUCCUGUCUAAUAAUGAACUCACUGAAUAUCCACCAGGGACCCAGGCAUGCCCCCAAGGACUCUGAUUUGGCUCUUCAUCAACGAGCAAGAAGAGGAUGCUCUUGGAGGCAAGUGCCCAGAUCGCAGGAGAUGAAAAUGGCAGCCUGAUGUAGGAGUGAGGCAGGGGUGGGGGUCUCUCACCUCAGAACCACCCGGAACUGGUUGAACACCUCCUUGAUCUGUCUAAGGUUGAUUAUCUGGAAGGAAGAGAGCAAGGCAGAGGUUAGACCAAGGGCACCUAGAGGGACCAGGCUGCAUCUAUGUUGGUAGAGAAAUCAAGACCCCUUGGCUGACCCCUGGACCAUCUGUCUCGAGAAGAGGACAUGUGCACACAGCCUCUCAGCAAAGUGGCAGCCAAGCCCUCCUCCAGAGCAGAGAAACACCUGAUUAAUAAUUUUAAAACUAAGUAUUUGCUGAGGCUAUAAAAACCACCUUUUCUAAGUGGAGACCUCUAUAAAAUGAAAUGAUUCUAUACCUUGAAAAUACCUUCUAAAGUUUUUUUUUUUUUUAAUAAAAUGUAUUUCUCCAGCUUUCUCUUACUUCCAAAA